UACGGAGGGUGCGAGCGUUGUCCGGAAUCAUUGGGCGUAAAGGGCGCGUAGGUGGCCCGGUCAGUUCGUGGUGAAAGCGCGGGGCUCAACUCCGCGUCGGCCAUGAAUACUGCUGGGCUUGAGCACUGUAGAGGCAGGCGGAAUUCCGGGGUGUAGCGGUGGAAUGCGUAGAGAUCCGGAAGAACACCGGUGGCGAAGGGCGGCCUGCUGGGCAGUAGCUGACACUGAGGCGCGACAGCGUGGGGGAGCAAACAGG
rnacentral:rRNA from 1 species